rnacentral:tRNA from 1 species
AGUGGGAGAGCGCUUCCUUGACACGGAAGAGGUCACUGGUUCAAUCCCAGUAUCGCCCA